UACAAGGGCAAAAACCAUCUGGCAACACUGGUCGAGAUUGUGCUUUGUCUCGGAGUUCUUGGUUUCGUCGUUUUUAUUCUGGUGUACACGAGGUUGUUUUGUCGACGAUAUAACACAUUCACGCUGAUUCUGGACUAUAAGCACGUACAAGUUCAAAGGAAAAGAUUAAGGUUGAACGUCCUGUCAUGCAUUAUAGAGCAAAUUCUGAACCAUUAAUCAUUUCUACAGGUGAUUUGGAACCUUCAAUCUUCACUGAGUGCAAAGAAAAAAUGAGGCCGGUGAAAUGUAAUUUAAAACAAUUGGAUAAUCCAGAUGAAAGUCUUACCAAAGAAGAACAAGUUCGCUACACCCAGCAAUGUCUUUUAAAAAUAGGUAGCCAUAUAAAUGAUUGUUUACGUGAAUACACUGAUCCAGAAAAGGUCAAAGAAUGGAGAAGGUAAAUAUUUUUGUUAAGGAAAACUUUUAUUUACAAUUUUAAUAUUCAUAAAAUUGUUUAGCUUGAACUAUUAACUAUCAAGUGAUAGAAACGUAUUCAGCCAAUUACAGAAAUGAGCUUUAAGUCAUAAUGUCUUGAUUUUUAUUGAAUUUAACUUAAAAUUAGAUGUUUCACUCAUUUUGAAUAUUUGUGAUGAAUUAAAUCAAUGAGAACCAAAAAAUAAUAACAGGAUAAGAA